AAGGCUAUUUUGGAGAUAUUGCUCUCAUUUUAAGACAUAAAAUGUAGCAAAGCAAGAUUUCAUGAUCAAGCACUGAUGCAGUGGAUUCUCAUCCCUUCUGAUGAGCGAGAAGAGGAAAGUGCUUCACUCCUCUUUCUGCAGAUGUGCCCUGGAACAGUGAGCUGCAGCACACCUGCAGAACUGCUCCUGGGGUCAGGAUCCUGCCCAGCACCACAGUAUGAAGGCAGCGAGCAAGGAAUGGGCUCACAGAGACUGCUGAAGUGUGCGAGGAGGAAAAAUAACACAAUGAGGAAAAAAUACAAAAAAGCAACCAGUGCCAUGAAUAAUCCUAAAAUAUGAAUAGAUAUAUGUAUUUGGACAAAGUGAGUACUGCUCCGUGUAAAACCAUCAGCAGGAAAGCAGAGCUUAAAGAAGACUUAGGGACAGCAAUAGCUGGUGUGCAGUUCUACAGAGGAGUGAUGUGAUCGGUUGGAUAACGUAGAGCGGACCAAGCCAGGACAGCUCGUGUGCAAAACUGAACUGGGUGAUGUGGAAUGGCACUGGAUGGCACUG